AACGAACGCUGGCGGCAGGCCUAACACAUGCAAGUUGAACGCCCGUAGCAAUACGGGAGUGGCAGACGGGUGAGUAACGCGUGGGAACGUGCCCUUCGGUUUGGUAAUAACUACAGGGAAACUUGAGCUAAUACCAAAUACGUCCGUAAGGGAAGAGUUUAUCGUCCGAAGGAUCGGCCCGCGUCGGAUUAGCUAGUUGGUGAGGUAACGGCCCACCAAGGCGACGAUCCGUAGCUGGUCUGAGAGGANGAUCAGCCACACUGGGACUGANACACGGCCCAGACUCCUACGGGAGGCGAGCAGUGGGGAAUAUUGGACAAUGGGCGGGAAGGCCUGAUCCAGCCAUGCCGCGUGAGUGAAGAAGGCC
rnacentral:rRNA from 1 species